GCCAGGCAGCAACUGCAGGGAUACCCUUGCAAGCUGAGUCAUGCCAGGGAUUGCUGGCUACCACCAGAAGCUGGAAGAGGCAGGAAAAGGUCUCAGAGGAAGUGUGGCCCGACCAACACCUUGAUUUUGGACUUCUAGCCUCCAGAACUAUAUGAAGAAGGAGGCACAUACUCCUUUGUGGUAUUGGCAGCCAUUCUGUGACCAUGAGGAGAGCCAGCUUGAGAAUUAUACUGUGGAUAACAGAAGAGGCAGAAAGAUUCUGGGUCCUUGAUGACUUCAAUGAGUCACUGGAUAAAUCACCAUCCUUAAUCUGCCCCAUUUCUGGAUUCUGGCUAAGUGUAUUUCCAGAGUAUGUUCCUAGAAGCGGAUUUCUGGAACAAAAGAUUGGUGCCUUGGUUGAAACUACGGCAAGAGUCCCAUUCUAAAAUCCCAUCACUCGGAGUUUCUGUCGCGGCACAACGGAAAUGAAUCCGACUAGAACCAUGAGGUUGCAGGUU